GACUCAGUGGUUCAGUGGUAAAGCUUUGGCCGAGGAACCAGAGGAUCAUGGGUUCGAUCCCCGAUAGGGUUG
rnacentral:tRNA from 1 species